rnacentral:misc_RNA from 1 species
UUUCCGUAGGUGAACCUGCGGAAGGAUCAUUAAAGAGUUUGCGCCCCCCGGGGCCCAACCUCCCACCCUUUGCUGUUGCGAAUCUGUUGCUUCGGCGGGCCCGCUCCCGCGGCCGGGCCUACGUGCCCGGACAGCGCCCGCCGGGGGACCAACCAACGCUUUUUUUCAAACAGUGCCGUCUGAGUUUGACCGAAACAAAUCAAAACUUUCAACAACGGAUCUCUUGGUUCUGGCAUCGAUGAAGAACGCAGC